rnacentral:lncRNA from 1 species
GGUACAGAUGCUGCUAAUAUUACAGACGUUGACAAGGGUAUGUCAUUACAUUCUAGGAGUUUGGAUACAUAACAAUGGAUUACAAGUAUGAAUACAUUCGAUCUUGUUGGAUGACAAAUAUUCUUCAACAAAAAAGAGUUGUACUCGAAAAUUCGUGUACUUACUUUGCAAGAAAAGUUCCAAUUUAAGGUCAGUAGGUCAAGCCUCAAAAUAUUAACCGUUGUAUGCGCGGACGAUAAUUGCAA